rnacentral:rRNA from 1 species
AAUGGGAGAAACCCUGAUCCAGCCAUGCCGCGUGAGUGAUGAAGGCCCUAGGGUUGUAAAGCUCUUUUGUGCGGGAAGAUAAUGACGGUACCGCAAGAAUAAGCCCCGGCUAACUUCGUGCCAGCAGCCGCGGUAAUACGAAGGGGGCUAGCGUUGCUCGGAAUCACUGGGCGUAAAGGGUGCGUAGGCGGGUCUUUAAGUCAGGGGUGAAAUCCUGGAGCUCAACUCCAGAACUGCCUUUGAUACUGAAGGUCUUGAGUCCGGGAGAGGUGAGUGGAACUGCGAGUGUAGAGGUGGAAUUCGUAGAUAUUCGCAAGAACACCAGUGGCGAAGGCGGCUCACUGGCCCGGUACUGACGCUGAGGCACGAAAGCGUGGGGAGCAAACAGGAUU